UACGUAGGGGGCAAGCGUUGUCCGGAUUCAUUGGGCGUAAAGAGCGUGUAGGCGGCCAGGUAGGUCGGUUGUGAAAACUGGAGGCUCAACCUUCAGACGUCGACCGAAACCAUCUGGCUAGAGUCCGGGAGAGGAGAGUGGAAUUCCUGGUGUAGCGGUGAAAUGCGCAGAUAUCAGGAAGAACACCCGUGGCGAAGCGGCUCUCUGGAACGGUACUGACGCUGAGACGCGAAAGCGUGGGGAGCGAACAGG
rnacentral:rRNA from 1 species